rnacentral:sRNA from 1 species
AAGAAGCUGUUCGAUGGACAGAGAUGAUUCGGGCAUCACGAGAAAAUCCAGCCAUGCAGGAAAAAAAAAGGUCAAGCAUUUGGCAGUUUUUCAGCCGACUUUUCAGCUCCUCAAGUAACACGACUAAGAAGCCUGAACCACCUGUUAAUCUGAAGUACAAUGCACCCACGUCUCAUGUUACUCCAUCCGUCAAGAAAAGAAGCAGCACCUUAUCUCAGCUCCCUGGGGAUAAGUCCAAAGCCUUUGAUUUCCUUAGUGAAGAAACUGAAGCUAGUUUAGCCUCACGCAGAGAACAAAAGAGAGAGCAGUAUCGUCAGGUAAAAGCACAUGUUCAGAAGGAAGACGGUAGAGUGCAGGCUUUUGGCUGGAGUCUGCCUCAGAAGUACAAACAGGUAAUAUGCACGUGGUAAGAGCAUCCAGCAGGAAAGAAGAGGGCGAGUUGAGUGUGCGUGGGCAUGAAGGAUUCACUGUAUGCAUCCCAGCCCUGCUCAUCUCAGCCGCAUGGACUGGGCACACAUUUAAGCAUGGAGGGUGGUGGUUUUCAGGCUGUUUUCUAGAGCUGUAGAACUCAAAUGAAAUGCUCUGAGUCUGUGAGGAGGGGAGGAGUCAAUAAAGGGUGGCUAAGUGCAUGGAGUUUGAGGUACCCGCUCUGCUGUAACCAGAGCAAUUCUGGUUUAAUAUUUGAAGAUUUCAUUUUUUAAAAAACCAGCAUCAUUGUUGAAAAAA